CGAGAACAGAGCAACAAGUGCGUCAGUACACUUCAGCAGCCAGUCUCUCACUGUUUACAACAGAGAAUUAUAACGACAUCUGCUGUAGAGUCCCAACCCCCUGGGACCUGCAAACAACAAUGUCACAAAGAAGGAUUUCAAUGUUUUUUGCUCCAAAAGUGGUUGGCAGCCAAGGAGGUAUGAUGGCAGAUAAGGAUGCAGUCAGGGUUCAUGCAGGAGACCAAAGGGAGGAGAGUAACAGCAUGAUCGAAUGUUGUGCUGAUGAAGUGACUGCAACCAUCGUAGAAGAGAUCAAGGCAUCGAAAAUGUAUGCAGUGAUGGCUGAUGAGGCAAGAGAUGGCCACGUUGAACAGCUUGCUGUUUGUGUGCGCUAUGUUACAGCUG
ensembl:lncRNA